rnacentral:rRNA from 1 species
UACAAUGGCCGGUACAGAGGGUAGCCAACCCGCGAGGGGAGCCAAUCCCAACAAGCCGGUCCGUAGUCCGGAUCGCAGUCUGCAACUCGACUGCGUGAAGUCGGAAUCGCUAGUAAUCGCGGAUCAGCAUGUCGCGGUGAAUACGUUCCCGGGUCUU